UACAGAGGUCUCAAGCGUUGUUCGGAUUCAUUGGGCGUAAAGGGUGCGUAGGCGGCGCGGUAAGUCGGGUGUGAAAUCUCGGGGCUUAACUCCGAAACUGCAUUCGAUACUGCCGUGCUUGAGGACUGGAGAGGAGACUGGAAUUUACGGUGUAGCGGUGAAAUGCGUAGAUAUCGUAAGGAAGACCAGUGGCGAAGGCGGGUCUCUGGACAGUUCCUGACGCUGAGGCCCGAAGGCCAGGGGAGCAAACGGG
rnacentral:rRNA from 1 species